CGCGCAUCAGAUACGGCGCGUUGAAUACGUUCUCGGGUCUUGUACUCACCGCCCGUCACACCACGAAAGUUGGCAACACCCGAAGGCUCUCAGUAGAGGGACGAAGGUGGGGUCAAUGAUCAGGGUGAAGUCGUAACAAGGCAUCCGUAGCGGAAGCUGUGGAUGGAUCACCUCCUUUCUGGAGUA
rnacentral:rRNA from 1 species